rnacentral:lncRNA from 1 species
AGAAUAUUUAGUUAGUAUCUACCCUUAAUGGGUUUAUAAAAUGCGGAGGAUUAGUUAUUGGAUUCGCUAUAAUAAUUUUUUUAUUUUAUUUCAUUUUCACCUUUUCUUUCUCUCUCAAUGCUCUCCCUCUCUAGAAGAAAAUAUGAACAUUUAUCAUCUUUUUCAGAAUCCAACCGGUAGCCAUUGUCCGACACCAUACUGGCCGUCGUAUGCCGCUGCUAGCUGAUGUCCUUUCCUUCUCAAGUUUUUAGAUUUGAUUAAUUUCUACCUCUUUUUUUUCAUUUCUUUUUAUCGGGUUUCUCUAAAUCAAAACUUUCAAGGCUGAUUUCGUCAUCUUCCGCCGCUCCAACAACCACGUUUUUCCUUUGUUCUCCCCUCUCCAAGUUACAAGCCCCAAAACCCCAUUUUCUAUUUCUUCUUAAAAUCUCUUUUUCUCCAUCUGUUCUUAUUUUGUUACGAUAGAUGAUAUGACUUUUACUGGAGAAGUUGUGAUAAGAGAUGAACAGUGAUUUCAUGAAAUGAGUGAUUCGGUCAGCCAAACAUUGAAUCAGCCUGAAAUGGUCUGACUAUUCAUGCCAACCAAACAUUCUCUAACAACAUUAGAUAAGAGAACUUACCAUUCAUGCCAACCAAACAUGCUCUACGAACAUUAGAUAAGAGAACCAAGUUGCAAGGUUGAAGAAAUAUUUCAUAAAAAUACACAAAUUUAUAUUAGAUUCUUAUCUGAAAAAGAAAGAUUAAAUUUU